CUUUCUCUUAAUAGGUCAAAUUUUAUAUAGGAAGGAUAAUAAAUUGAAAUACAAUAGGAGAUCAUUUAAAGAAAAUAAGAAAUAUGCUAACGUAACAUCUCUAAGGUGGAUCAAUCCGCUGGCAUUUCUAAGACAAUCCAAGAAGAGCGUCAUUCUACCAAGCUAUUCUUAAAACAGCAGGCAAAAGUUUAUCCAAGUAUCCUACUUGUUGCUCAACUCGCUAAUUAAAACCUGGGCUACAGUGGAAUCCCAAAGCAAUUCUUCUUUAUUUCCUUGCCCAGGAAUCAAAUUGUUAUGUUAUAAAAGCUAGUACAGUCAUCAAAGGUCUCAUACAUUAAACAGGACAUAAACCACCCUUCUCUAUACACAAGGAUUGUUACAACUAAUAGUGUGGAAAAAUUCCAAAUCGCAGCCAAAACUAAAUACGUUCCAUAAUUUGUACUUAUUACCAAAUACCUUCAUGCAGUUUUCUUCUGAUGAUCUACAACAAUCCUGAGAUGCCAAGGUCACUAGUCUUCCGGGAAGACACGAAAGAUAUUAACAUCAAGGACAAUAGCAUCAUUCACUGGACUACCAGGUUCAAAAACGCACACAUCAAAUUCCUGCAAGUCAUUUGCCAGGGCAAAACUCUUCCACCCAGAAGAAAGCCCUCCACUGUUUUUAGAUUUCUGAUAAUAAAAUUUGGUGUGCCAAGUAUUCUCUUUCGUGCGUAGAAUCACAUCUUGUUUCUCUAGAGAUCUUAGAUUCUUAGAUGUCCAUGCUGAAGGUAUCGACUGAAAGAAGUAGCACCACAAAUAUAUUAUGAUCAACUUCAAAACUGUGUCAAUCUUGAUGACAGCAGCAGUUGACACUUUGUUCAUAUUCAGAUUAGAGGAAUUAAAGAAAAUAAGAAAAAUAAAGAAACAGCAAGAAAUUCAAACGCUACUAAACAAAAGGAUAAAUAUGUACCAUGUAAAAUCUCCGGUACACGUGUGUAGGUUUCAUAACUACCAUGAAGCCAUCCCUUGUUAACACUGCUUGUGCCAACUGGCAUACAUUCUGUUUCUCUUCCUCUGUUAUUAGCCUUCUACUUGAUAGAUAUGGCACACUGUGCACCACACUUGGACUGACGUGCUCCAUGUCUGAAUCAUUCAUGAAUCAGACAAUAAUUUAUCAAGCAAGCAAAUCCAUCAAUUAGGCUAUUUUUGUAUCCAGCAAAACAAAAACUCAUUAACUUGAACAAAGCCAUAUGUGUGUGUGUGUAUAUAAAAACAUGAAAUGCAGUGCAAAAAUGAAGAAAGGGAUGGGUAUUUUGAAAAUACAGCAGUUGUAAUGCAAAAUAACAUUCUAACAAAUAAAAUUAUAGAUAUGCAUACCAGGCUUUGUCUCUAUUUCCUCAUCAGAAGUAGAAAAUUCUUCCUGAAUAGGGUUGGUAAACUCAAUUUCCCUUCGUGUCUUCUUGGUGGUGCAGCGGUAAAUGUUAGGUCGCCCUAAUGGUGUUGUGUCAAUGUCAUUAUUUGCAGAUUUCUGAGGUGGAGAGAACCCAACAACAUCCUCAGGACAGGGAAGAGGAGCUUCAAAAGAAUUUUCACCAGUUUUCCUUUUUGUAUGGUAACCACUGUCAUGUUCUCUGUGACCACAUUUUCUGACAAAAUAUGAACCUGCCUUCUCACAUAAGCUUUGACCAUCAAAAAUUAGAACAUCAAAGCAUGAAUCCCCAUUGUACUUAAAGAUCAAAAGAUCUUUCUCUUGGAGAAAAUGAUCAUUUACAAAUUCUUCCCAACCAUGAUUGAAGAACAUAGUAUCAUCAUUUGUUGUGAGUACAACUUGCCAUGUAAGGCCACUAGGACCUCUAAGCGUCAUGACCUGAGGUAGUUUCUUUCUCAAAUUUUUUGUAAAAUGCUCUGGGAUCGGAAGCUGCCGACGAAAACUAGGGCGGAGAACCUGAGAGAAAUGGAGACAUUGAAAAUGGGUCCAAUAAAUUUCCUCUUCCCAGCUUCUGCAAUCCCUGCAUGCUUCUUCACCCAUUUCCACUAAUAUACCAGUCAGACUCUUCCAACACGGAUUGCACGCUUGGGCUUGCAAUCGAUAAUUGACGAAUCUCUGUUAAGUCUCUUCCUGCUCCUCUACUGUUUGUUCCAUCUCCGUUUCUUCCCACAAUUAUUUUUUGCAUAUUCUGCUUUUCUACCGCAUUUAUCAAAUGGGGUCCUAUUAGGACGCCACGUUUCAGUUAAUAGCUCAAUCGAACGAUAGAGGUAGAAGUUAUGGUACGAACCCAAGAGAUGUCCACGAUCG
rnacentral:misc_RNA from 1 species